GCCCAUGUAGCUCAGUCGGUAGAGCACUUCCUUGGUAAGGAAGAGGUCAGCGGUUCGAUCCCGCUCAUGGGCU
rnacentral:tRNA from 1 species